rnacentral:other from 1 species
CUGGCUCUAGCUUGUGCGUCAGCCGUCCCUUUCGUUGAGCCAACACGACUGGGAUGGGGGUCCGGCUCGGGGCGGGUCUUGGCUCGUCCCGGAGGACCCCCGAACUUGCAAGAGCAGGUUCAACUCCCGGACGGCAGCGGCAAGCUGGGGCCGUC